rnacentral:lncRNA from 1 species
UAGCGUUUGAACACAUGGCAUGUGAUGGCUAUUACACCGUCCUCAUUAUUCCUCUCCAGAACAGCCUCUACAGCCCUGACGCACUGCACUGCUUCCACUGGCUAAAGAGACGUAGAGAUCUGGAAAGACAAAAAGACGUCCUGUGGGCUGGACUGCAGGUUGUGGAACAAACACAGCUGUGGUACCAGAAUCGCCUGAAGCUGAAUUUACAAAGGCAAGUUAGUUUCAGCACAGGAGACUUGGAUGGAGAGGGCAGGUGGUCCUGCGCUAUGCGGUCUUGUAUGCAGCGUGUGAAUGGCAGUCUGGGUAAUCUGAUUAGUGACUCCUGUGUCUGGAACAAUCUGGCCCCAGAGGAGAGUGGAGGAUCGGACUGGGACCUCCGGUGGAGCAAUGCCACAUUGGUCAAGGUUAUGAUCAGUAAUAAUAAUAGUAUUCUUAUUGUUUUUGUUUCUGUUGCACAGUCCUAUUUAUUAUCAACAUAACAAGCACUGUGUGGAUUUCAUAUACAGGAAGUGAAUCAGCAGAAUCAACAGAUUUCCAUGUUGGAGCUUGAGAAGGCACAACUUCUUCAGCAGCUGGUGUUUUACAGCACACCUGAUUGAUGACAUCCGCACAUUUUCAACUUUAAUUACAAAAGGGUUUAAUUCAAAUCACACAGUUAACGGUAAAUAGUUAAAAAUGCUUUGAAAAGACUGAAUGUUAAAAUUAAUUUAAGCUCUGGUAUACACCCAGUCCACCCU